GCGGAUUUAGCUCAGUUGGGAGAGCGCCAGACUGAAGUUGCCUGAUGGUACUGUAAUCUGGAGGUCCUGUGUUCGAUCCACAGAAUUCGCA
rnacentral:tRNA from 1 species